rnacentral:lncRNA from 1 species
CAUCUCCAAGAUUCACACUCUCACCCAAGGCCACCUCCUUAUUCUCCUAGUCAACAGUUCCUAAAACUGUUGUGCCCAUCAUCUUCCUUGUAAUAGUAACAUCUCCAUCUUUAAGAUUGUGGUAACCAUCAUCAAUGGAAAGUUCUAACUGCUUUCCAUUAGGCCGCUGCUGGUUUUGGAAAAUAUCGUGAGUUUCCAUGACAGUAAUGUCCUCAUCCUUUCCAAGAGAAGUUGUUCGAGCAACAGCGUCCAUGGUUGCUUCACCUUGCUCAUGAUGAGCAUCUGAUUCAACGCCAGUCGCAUCCACACGAAUGGUAUCCUGGUCAUGGAAACCAUUGUUUUGCUGACAAUCAUUGGCAUGAUCAUCCUCAUCAAGUUUAGAUAAAACUUGAAAACCAUUGGACUUUGUACCCGACUCUUUCUUUUUGUAAAGAAACUGUUUGCGACCCUUCACCACCUUCCAUCCCUCCUCACCUGAUGGAAAAAUUACAAUGGAUCCAUUGUUAUGGACUGCUGCACCAUUACGCUUUGCUGAACUCUUUAAAGGAAAAAUCGAGCGACAUAGCUCAGACUUGUGACCCACCGUUCUACACUUUAAACAUGUUGAAGGGAUGAACUCAUAAAGAAUUUCUUAUCGAUACUCCUUCCCUUUAAUCUCGAACCAAACCUCGUUUAUACAUGGAUUAUUAAAUCCAUCGCAACACAGACUCUGGGUUCUGUUCGUGAUCUCAUUUUCGUAGGCUUAUCCAUGAAGAUGGGUUUACCUACACUUAAUGAGAUACGAAACAAGGGCUCAGGCUCC